UACGUAGGUGACAAGCGUUGUCCGGAUUUACUGGGCGUAAAGAGCGCGCAGGCGGUCGUUCAAGUCGCGUGUGAAAGCCCCCGGCUCAACUGGGGAGGGUCACGCGAUACUGAUCGACUCGAAGGCAGGAGAGGGAAGUGGAAUUCCCGGUGUAGUGGUGAAAUGCGUAGAUAUCGGGAGGAACACCAGUGGCGAAGGCGACUACCUGGCCUGUUCUUGACGCUGAGGCGCGAAAGCUAGGGGAGCAAACGGG
rnacentral:rRNA from 1 species